rnacentral:rRNA from 1 species
CGUGGAGUGAUUUGUCUGGUUUAUUCCGAUAACGAGCGAGACUCUAACCUACUAAAUAGUUGAUAUUUCUUUAUAAGAGUAUACAACUUCUUAGAGGGAUUUGCGGUGUUUAGCCGAAAGAAAUUGAGCAAUAACAGGUCUGUGAUGCCCUUAGAUGUCCGGGGCUGCACGCGCGCUACACUGAAAGAAUCAGUGUGCGUUACGCCCAGUUCGGAAGAACCGGGUAACCCAAGUAAAUUCUUUCGUGCUUGGGAUAGGGAAUUGCAACUAUUUCCCUUAAACGAGGAAUUCCCAGUAAAUGCGGGUCAUAAGCUCACGUUGAAUACGUCCCUGCCCUUUGUAC